GUGCUUGCUUUGGCAGCGUAUACACUAAAAUUAGAAUAAUACAGAGAUUAGCAUGCACCCUCCUCAGGGAUGACAUGCAAAUUUGUGUUCUGUUUAAAAAACAA